ACGAACGCUGGCGGCAGGCCUAACACAUGCAAGUCGAACGAUAAGCUUCUUCGGAAGUGGACAGUGGCAGACGGGUGAGUAACGCGUGGGGAUCUGCCCAGAGGUUCGGGACAACCAUUGGAAACGAUGGCUAAUACCGAAUAAGCCCGUAAGGGGAAAGAUUUAUCGGAAUUGGAUUAGCCCGCGUUAGAUUAGAUAGUUGGUGGGGUAAUGGCCUACCAAGUCUACGAUCUAUAGCUGGUUUGAGAGGAUGAUCAGCAACACUGGGACUGAGACACGGCCCAAACUCCUACGGGAGGCAGCAGUGGGGAAUCUUGC
rnacentral:rRNA from 1 species